UUAUUGUGAUAGUCUGUUUUCUGUCUAGUUGUGCUUCCUGUGUUUUCCCGCCUGUGUGAUUGUCUAAUGUACUCCACCUAUUCCCCAUCCCUGGUGUCACCUGUCCCGUGUUUGCUCAUUACCUAGUUUAUUUAGCUCCUGUGUGUUCUUUGUCUUGUGUCAGAUCUUUUUUGUGUCCUUGUCUUGUCAGUUGUGUGUUUUUUGUAUCCUGUCAGCGUGUUUUAGCCUGGUGCCUUUGCUUUGCAUUUUUCCCUGUGUUAUUUUGUUACGUUUUUUUCUCUGAGUUUUCUUCCCUGGGUUUUUUCCAGCCUCAGUGCUGCCGUGUUUUUGUUCAAUAAAUCCUUGAGUUCAAACCUUCUGCCUGCCUCUCCCUGCAUUUGGGUCCUUUUAAUCCCCGGAAACCUAACCAAAAUGUCUACAAAGACGUCCUCCAACCUCCCAGCUGGUUUCUAUAAAGAUGGCUCCUUCAUCAGGACUGAGCCUGCAGGUCACAUGACCAUCCACCAUGUUUCCAGGUCUGAUGAAGGCCUCUACAAGUGUCUCAUCAGCAGUGUUGGAGAGUCUCCACCCAGCUGGGUCUCUGUCACAGAGAAACCUACAUCCACAAGCCCUCCUUCGACAAGCACUCUGCCGCCCCGUUACAAAACCUCAGACCCCUCCCCCUUGUGAUCAGACUGGUCUGCCACCUGGUGGUGUUCUGUCCGUACUGCAUCUCCACUUUCAUCAUGGUGUCUUUAUAUCGACACAGGGCCACAGGAAAUGGCCUACCUGUUGCCAUGGUGAUGACCUCGCCCACCCAGGCUGAGGAGGGAUUGGAUGAUGAAUAUGAGAAUGACAUCACCGCUGUCACCAGAGAGCAUCACUUCUGAACUGAUCUGAAAAGAAGCUGAAAUCUCCGUAGAUCAGAAACAGUUCCCCCGGCCGUCUUAAUAUAAUUAUGAUUUAAACAUAUUCAAUAUGAAAUUAUUGCUUUAAGUUUGAAUUGCUUCUUUACUGCCAGCCACAGCUAUCUCUGUAAUCCUGAAUAUUUUAUAUUAUAACAUUAAAGCUUUUUUUUUUCAA